rnacentral:rRNA from 1 species
GAUGAACGCUGGCGGCGUGCCUAAUACAUGCAAGUCGAGCGAACAGACGAGGAGCUUGCUCCUCUGACGUUAGCGGCGGACGGGUGAGUAACACGUGGAUAACCUACCUAUAAGACUGGGAUAACUUCGGGAAACCGGAGCUAAUACCGGAUAAUAUAUUGAACCGCAUGGUUCAAUAGUGAAAGACGGUUUUGCUGUCACUUAUAGAUGGAUCCGCGCCGCAUUAGCUAGUUGGUAAGGUAACGGCUUACCAAGGCAACGAUGCGUAGCCGACCUGAGAGGGGGCACGGCCACGGUGGAAGUGAGCCCGGGCCCAGACCCCGACGGGGGGCAGGAGUAGGGAACCUUCCGAAAUGGGGGAAAGCCUGAGGGAGCAACGCGGCGGGGGUGGAGAAGGUUUUGGGGCCGGAAAACUGUGUUAUUGGGGGAGAAAAAAUGUUUAAGUAACUAUCCACGUUUGAAGGGAACCGAAGAAGAAAGCCCGGGCAACUACGGG